rnacentral:lncRNA from 1 species
GAGAGAGGCCCUUGCAACGGCCCUUAUGUGCCCCCACAGCCAUGUUAGGAAUAGGAGGAGAACCUCAUCCUAACAUGAGCAAGGUCGAAGGCCCGAUUAUUUAGAGAUUGAAGGGGGGGAGAGAUCCUUGCAACGGCCCUUACGUGUCCCCACAGCCAUGUUAGGAACAGGAGGAGAACCUCAUCCUAACAUGAGCUAAAAUUGACUGUGUCGGGAACAGGAGGAGAACCUCAUCCUGACACAAACGAAAACCCGGUUGUUCAAGAUCGGAUGAGAAGGAAAGCCUCCUCAAUGGCUCCUCUACACCCCUACGACCCC